rnacentral:misc_RNA from 1 species
AACAUCGCGCACCUGCGGGAACCUGCGGAAGGAUCAUUACGAGAGUGUCACCACUCCCAACCCAUUGUUUACCUACCCGUCCACCGUGCUUCGGCAGGCAGCCCUGUGGGACAGAGCCUCGCCCCCUUUCGCGGGGGGUGCCUGCCGCUUGCCAACCAAAACUCUAGCUGUUUUAGUACCAUCUGAGUCUUCCACAAAUGAACAAAACUUUUAGCAACGGAUCUCAGAUCGGAAGAGCAC